rnacentral:lncRNA from 10 species
UAUGGGUCAUACUUUCCUGUUUCCUUACAUAUCUCAUAGUUGUUCACUUGAAACUGAACAUUUCAGAUAGAGUAGUCCCCCAUUUCUUGUAGGGGUCCUCCAGCUGGGUGCUGGGGAGGGCCCUGUGUUCUUGGCUGCAGUCUUUGGCAUGGACUCCCCACCUCCCUGAGCUGGGAGAAGGGAACAGAGGUGCAUUCUUAGCUCAAAUAGCACAGACUCUCACCAUUCCUACCAGAUUUUGAUAGAUUGUCUUGAAAAGAGAUUUUGUCAUUUGCUGUUUGCUCCUUCUACCAUUUCCAGAGGCUAUAUGUUUUUUUGUUUUUGGUUUUUGCUUUUCUUUCUUUUUUUUUUUUUUGGUAGUUUUCACCAGGCUCACUGGGGAGCAACUUCAAGGAGCUCCUUACACUGCCAUGCUGGAAGUUGGUCUCUAAUUUACUCACUGUUAAUAUUAUGCAUAUUGUUUGUCUUAGGGAAAAUAAGUCUUAUGUCUCUAUAUAGAAAAUUGUUUACUUCCGGGGGAAAUGUGUUAGAGAAAUGUGGCUAUAAAAUAAAUGUAAUUUUCCAUUGACUUCAUUUUCACAUAAGAGACUUAUUCCUGGGGCGGGAGAGAGGAGAAAUCCUGUAAUGGCCUGAAUUGAAGGCUACGGAAGACAUGAGGAAGCUGAAAACUUGUUACACCGUGCCCGGCCUCAGUGCACUUUUAAAUGUUUCACUCAACUAAUGAUUUCACAUCCUAUUCAUCUGAAACAAUGCAGAUGAGUAUCUGAUAUAAACAUUGCACAGCAUCCAGAGUGAAACCCAAAUCACUACAUCCAGGAAAUGGAUUCAUAGAUUCAAUGUUUCAAACAAAUUGGAGGACAUCAUGAUUUUUUUUAAAUUAAAAUGUGACACCUAGC